rnacentral:rRNA from 1 species
AUGUCGGGAACCGCGGCCCCACGGUACGCGCCGGACGACCCUACGGUGCCGAAGCCGUGGCGCGGGCUGGUGGACGGCACCACCGGCUACCUCUACUACUGGAAUCCGGAUACCAACGUCACCCAGUACGAGAAGCCCGUGCCGCCGGAAGCUCAGCUCCCGCCGCCCCCGCCUCUCCCGCCUCCUCCUCCGCGCGCCCGCGGCCGGGACCGUCGAGACCGUUCCCGUUCUCGCUCCCGCUCCCGUUCUCGCACACCGCCUCGGCGUGAACACCGGGACCGCGACCGCGACCGCGACAGGCGCCGUCACGACGAGCACGACUCGUUCAAGCCGUCGUCGUCCCAUCACCAUCUUCCUCCGGCUGCCACCAUCAUCCCUACCGCCGCAGCUGAUGAUCCAUCAGCCGAAGCAUACCGCCGUCGCCAUGAGAUCACAGUCAUCGGGGAUAACGUGCCGGCUCCCAUAACUGAGUUUGACUCUGGUGUCAUCCCGCUUGAUAUACUCAAGGAGAUACAACGCGCCGGAUUCCCAAGUCCAACGCCUAUCCAAGCCCAGUCCUGGCCAAUUGCCUUGCUCAAUCAAGAUGUUGUAGCUAUUGCCAAGACAGGAUCUGGAAAAACUCUCGGAGAGCUCGCAACACAGAUUUUGGAAGAAGCUGUGAAAUUUGGCAGAUCAUCAAGAAUUUCUUCUACGUGCCUUUAUGGCGGUGCUCCUAAAGGGCCCCAGUUAAGAGAUUUAGAAAGAGGGGUUGAUGUUGUUGUUGCAACACCUGGAAGGUUGAAUGACAUUCUAGAAAUGCGGAAAAUAAGCCUAAAGCAGGUCUCGUACCUUGUUCUAGACGAGGCUGACCGCAUGCUAGAUAUGGGGUUUGAACCACAAAUACGAAAAAUAGUAAGAGACAUACCUUCUGGUCGGCAAACUCUUAUGUACACUGCUACUUGGCCCAAGGAAGUCCGAAGAAUUGCAGAUGAGCUUCUUGUUCACCCUGUUCAGGUGACCAUUGGAAGUGUGGAUGAGCUUGUUGCUAAUAAAGCUAUUACUCAGCAUGUGGAGGUGGUCACUCCCUCAGAAAAGCUUUGGCGUCUGGAGCAAAUAUUGCGAUCCCAUGAUUCAGGUUCCAAGAUACUAAUAUUCUGUACCACCAAGAGAAUGUGCGACCAACUAUCAAGGACACUCAAUAGGCAAUUUGGAGCGGCUGCCAUUCAUGGUGACAAGUCUCAAAAUGAAAGAGAGAAGGUCCUGAGUCAAUUUAGAUCUGGACGAUCUCCUAUUUUGGUGGCUACAGAUGUUGCGGCACGAGGUUUAGACAUCAAAGAUAUCAGGGUUGUGAUCAACUAUGACUUCCCCACUGGUGUUGAGGACUAUGUUCACAGGAUUGGCAGGACAGGAAGGGCUGGUGCCACUGGUUUGGCCUAUACGUUUUUGUGUGAUCAGGAUUCAAAAUAUGCCGCCGACCUAAUUAAAAUCCUGGAAGGGGCAGACCAAGAUGUUCCUCCUGAACUGUUAGACAUGGUCUCUCGGGGUGGGCGUGGUAGGAAACGUAACAAAUGGGCAACCCGCUCUGAGAGGGGUGGUGGUUCACGCCCUGAACUGGAUUCAAGGUAUGGUGGCAGGUUAGAGGGUAGUCGCGGUGGACGUGGAAAGGAUGAUUAUGGUGGCCGUAGCAGGAAUGAUCACGGCGGGUCUCGCAGGUCUGCUAGAGGUCGCAGCAGAAGCCUUAGCAGGAGUGACAGUGAUAGGCGCAGCCCAAGCCCCAAGAGACGGCGCCAUGAUGUGCAGUCUAGCCGUAGCAGGACUAGAAGUCGGAGUCGGAGCAGGAGCAGGAGCAGGAGCAGGAGCAGAAACAAGAGCAGGAAUAGGAGCCGGAGCAGGAGUUACACUAGGAAUCGUCGUGCUAGCCGCAGCAGGAGUCGUAGCCCUGGCGCUAGACGCAGGCCUGAAAGAAGAGCUGGCUCUGGGUCUACACGUCCUGACUCUGCCCACCCAGUGGAGAAGAAAAGCUCACCCAAUGCUCACCCUUCAAAUGACCACAGGAGCCGCAGUGUCGACCCUUCAAAUGACUAUCAGGCGGAGGAUGGGAAGAUGGGAAAGGUUGAUCUGGAUCGGUCGCCCAGUCCGCAGGAGCAGGAUGACAAGUCUGCUCCAUAUAGUUCUGUGUAUAAUGGCGAAGGAGGCAGGGGGUCAAUGAGCCCUAAUGGCGAGCCAGUGGUGGAUGCUAAACCUGUGGAAGUCUCUGUGAGCAGCAAGAAGAGGGAGGAUGAAGAGGAAGGUAUGAUUGAUGAAGAGGGAGAGGAGGGUAUGAUAGCCGAUGAUGACCCUCGCGCAAGUGCAGCUGUGCAAAACGGUGGUGAUAAGUGA